rnacentral:rRNA from 1 species
AGAGUUUGAUCCUGGCUCAGAUUGAACGCUGGCGGCAGGCCUAACACAUGCAAGUCGAGCGGAAACGAUCCUAGCUUGCUAGGAGGCGUCGAGCGGCGGACGGGUGAGUAAUGCAUAGGAAUCUGCCCGGUAGUGGGGGAUAACUUGAGGAAACUCAAGCUAAUACCGCAUACGCCCUACGGGGGAAAGCAGGGGCUCUUCGGACCUUGCGCUAUCGGAUGAGCUUAUGUCGGAUUAGCUGGUUGGUGAGGUAACGGCUCACCAAGGCGACGAUCCGUAGCUGGUCUGAGAGGAUGAUCAGCCACAUCGGGACUGAGACACGGCCCGAACUCCUACGGGAGGCAGCAGUGGGGAAUAUUGGACAAUGGGGGCAACCCUGAUCCAGCCAUGCCGCGUGUGUGAAGAAGGCCCUCGGGUUGUAAAGCACUUUCAGCGAGGAAGAAUGCUUGUCGGUUAAUACCCGGCAAGGGAGACAUCACUCGCAGAAGAAGCACCGGCUAACUCCGUGCCAGCAGCCGCGGUAAUACGGAGGGUGCGAGCGUUAAUCGGAAUUACUGGGCGUAAAGCGUGCGUAGGCGGCUUGAUAAGCCGGUUGUGAAAGCCCCGGGCUCAACCUGGGAACGGCAUCCGGAACUGUUAGGCUAGAGUGCAGGAGAGGAAGGCCAGUGGCGAAGGCGGCCUUCUGGACUGACACUGACGCUGAGGUACGAAAGCGUGGGUAGCAAACAGGAUUAGAUACCCUGGUAGUCCACGCCGUAAACGAUGUCGACUAGCCGUUGGAGUCCUCGAGACCUUUGUGGCGCAGUUAACGCACUAAGUCGACCGCCUGGGGAGUACGGCCGCAAGGUUAAAACUCAAAUGAAUUGACGGGGGCCCGCACAAGCGGUGGAGCAUGUGGUUUAAUUCGAUGCAACGCGAAGAACCUUACCUACCCUUGACAUCGUGCGAACUUUCCAGAGAUGGAUUGGUGCCUUCGGGAGCGCAUAGACAGGUGCUGCAUGGCUGUCGUCAGCUCGUGUUGUGAAAUGUUGGGUUAAGUCCCGUAACGAGCGCAACCCUUGUCCCUAUUUGCCAGCGAUUCGGUCGGGAACUCUAGGGAGACUGCCGGUGACAAACCGGAGGAAGGUGGGGACGACGUCAGGUCAUCAUGGCCCUUACGGGUAGGGCUACACACGUGCUACAAUGGCCGGUACGAUGGGUUGCAAAGCGGCGACGUGGAGCUAAUCUCAUAAAGCCGGUCUCAGUCCGGAUCGGAGUCUGCAACUCGACUCCGUGAAGUCGGAAUCGCUAGUAAUCGUGCAUCAGAAUGGCACGGUGAAUACGUUCCCGGGCCUUGUACACACCGCCCGUCACACCAUGGGAGUGGACUGCACCAGAAGUGGUUAGCCUAACUUCGGAGGGCGAUCACCACGGUGUGGUUCAUGACUGGGGUGAAGUCGUAACAAGGUAACC